rfam:Rattus norvegicus chromosome 18, whole genome shotgun sequence.
GGGGAUUUAGCUCAGUGGUAGAGCGCUUGCCUAGCAAGCGCAAGGCCCUGGGUUCAGUCCCUA